rfam:Enterovibrio nigricans DSM 22720 genome assembly, contig: BP91DRAFT_scaffold00009.9
AGUAAAUGACGUAGGGUACAGAGGUAAGAUGUUCUAUCUUUCAGACCUUUUGUUUCACGUUAUUGGAUUUAGCUGAUUCAGCAGCCCCGGUCGACGAAUGUCGACCGGGGCAUUUUUUA